CCCCAGGUUUAGAGCAUAGACAUAUUUAGACAAGUCACAUAACUUGGAACUAUUCACAUUAGAUUCCCAUCUAAGCCCACGUUAGUAACAAAGGAAGAGCACUCUUCUGAACACCAGUCACCU